rnacentral:rRNA from 1 species
CACUCCUGCGGGAGGCAGCAGUGGGGAAUAUUGGACAAUGGGCGCAAGCCUGAUCCAGCCAUGCCGCGUGAGUGAUGAAGGCCCUAGGGUUGUAAAGCUCUUUUGUGCGGGAAGAUAAUGACGGUACCGCAAGAAUAAGCCCCGGCUAACUUCGUGCCAGCAGCCGCGGUAAUACGAAGGGGGCUAGCGUUGCUCGGAAUCACUGGGCGUAAAGGGUGCGUAGGCGGGUCUUUAAGUCAGGGGUGAAAUCCUGGAGCUCAACUCCAGAACUGCCUUUGAUACUGAAGAUCUUGAGUUCGGGAGAGGUGAGUGGAACUGCGAGUGUAGAGGUGAAAUUCGUAGAUAUUCGCAAGAACACCAGUGGCGAAGGCGGCUCACUGGCCCGAUACUGACGCUGAGGCACGAAAGCGUGGGGAGCAAACAGGAUUAGAAACCCGGGUAGUCCC